rnacentral:rRNA from 1 species
GACGAACGCUGGCGGCGUGCUUAACACAUGCAAGUCGAACGGAAAGGCCCUGCUUUUGUGGGGUGCUCGAGUGGCGAACGGGUGAGUAACACGUGAGUAACCUGCCCUUGACUUUGGGAUAACUUCAGGAAACUGGGGCUAAUACCGGAUAGGAGCUCCUGCUGCAUGGUGGGGGUUGGAAAGUUUCGGCGGUUGGGGAUGGACUCGCGGCUUAUCAGCUUGUUGGUGGGGUAGUGGCUUACCAAGGCUUUGACGGGUAGCCGGCCUGAGAGGGUGACCGGCAACAGGGGGACUGAGCACAGCCCGGACCGCCGCGGGGGGGCGGAGGGGGGAAAGUUUGAACAGGGGGGGGAGGCUGGAGCCGACACCCCCGGGGGGGGAAGGCGGGCCUUGGGGUUGAAACCCCUUUGCGCUGGGGACGAGGGGGGAGGGAGGGAAGGGAAAAAAGAGCCCCCGCCAAACUACGUC